rnacentral:rRNA from 1 species
UAUUUAUUAGGAUCCAUUUCUGUACUACUAAUGUCUAUUGCCUUCUCCAUGCAUCCAGCAGUGUACAGGACGUCCUCCUCCUCAAAGUGUCCAUCCAUGACGAGCUCCCUUCGCUGCAGGAGGAGCAGCAAGUCCAGCACCUGCUUGUCUCCUGUGUCCUAUAGCGCGUGGACAAGCUCACCAAUGGAUGUGUCUUCCUUCCCUCCUACCGUGGCCAAAGCAAGGAGUGUGCCGGAUUGAGCAGUGUAAUGGAAUCGUAACUCCAAGCUGUUGACUGUUGUGGCAUGUCAUCUGCCUUCAAACCAAUAUUAUAUAUUGUUUUAUGGCAGCAUCUUCAACAACGAAGACAUGUGUUCUAAAGACUUUGGUGUGGAUGGGUGGAUCUAACGACCAGGAAUGUGGGAUGACCCGUGAUUCAUGUCCGACGAGCAUUGGGCCUUGCUUGAUGGGGGCGGUGCUGAUUAUAGAGUAGCAUAGUGUUCUUCGAGAUAUGCUUGUAAAAUAAAAAAAUUUGUCAUUUUUGUUUUGCUCAU